rnacentral:rRNA from 1 species
AUUGAACGCUGGCGGCAGGCCUAACACAUGCAAGUCGAGCGGAUGAAGGGAGCUUGCUCCUGGAUUCAGCGGCGGACGGGUGAGUAAUGCCUAGGAAUCUGCCUGGUAGUGGGGGAUAACGUCCGGAAACGGGCGCUAAUACCGCAUACGUCCUGAGGGAGAAAGUGGGGGAUCUUCGGACCUCACGCUAUCAGAUGAGCCUAGGUCGGAUUAGCUAGUUGGUGGGGUAAAGGCCUACCAAGGCGACGAUCCGUAACUGGUCUGAGAGGAUGAUCAGUCACACUGGAACUGAGACACGGUCCAGACUCCUACGGGAGGCAGCAGUGGGGAAUAUUGGACAAAGGGCGAAAGCCUGAUCCAGCCAUGCCGCGUGUGUGAAGAAGGUCUUCGGAUUGUAAAGAACUUUGAGUUGGGAGGAAGGGCAGUAAGUUAAUACCUUGCUGUUUUGACGUUACCAACAGAAUAAGCACCGGCUAACUUCGUG